rnacentral:rRNA from 1 species
AUUGAACGAUGGCGGAAUGCUUUACACAUGCAAGUCGAACGGCAGCACGGACUUCGGUCUGGUGGCGAGUGGCGAACGGGUGAGUAAUAUAUCGGAACGUGCCCAGUCGUGGGGGAUAACGUAGUGAAAAUUACGCUAAUACCGCAUACGAUCUAUGGAUGAAAGCGGGGGAUCGCAAGACCUCGCGCGAUUGGAGCGGCCCAUAUCAGAUUAGGUAGUUGGUGAGGUAAAGGCUCACCAAGCCGACGAUCUGUAGCUGGUCUGAGAGGACGACCAGCCACACUGGAACUGAGACACGGUCCAGACUCCUACGGGAGGCAGCAGUGGGGAAUUUUGGACAAUGGACGCAAGUCUGAUCCAGCCAUUCCGCGUGCAGGACGAAGGCCUUCGGGUUGUAAACUGCUUUUGUACAGAACGAAAAGGUCUCUAUUAAUACUAGGGGCUCAUGACGGUACUGUAAGAAUAAGCACCGGCUAACUACGUGCCAGCCGCCGCGGUAA